UCAAUUUCAUUUUCAUGCUCGUUAGACAGCAAACAGUGCGUGAAAGACGAGCCCCAUCCCCUGCCAACCCAUGCCAACCCAUGGCAUCCCAUUCCAGUGAGCCGAGAUCCUUGGGGCAGUUUAGUUUUGAUUAAUUUGCCCGUCUGCCUGGCUGCGCCUGUCAAACGAGGUGCUUCAGUUGGCCGCUCCGCUUUUGGCCAUAAAAUAGGCAUAAAAACAGGAUCAUUGUUAUAUUAUGUGAUUUCGAGCAGAAAUUUCAGAUGGAAAGGCACAGGUGAAUGGACUGCCUGCCAUUCUUCUGUGGACCAAAUCAAUGCAGAUAGAUGCACAUUUCCCGUAUAAUUCCAAAUCGAAGCUCCAGUUUUUUGAGAUGAUGUUACUGGAUUGCAAAUUGAAGUGCCCCGUCCACUUUUUCGCUCCUCUGCAACGACUGGCGGGCAAACCGCAG